AAGGCAUUAAUGCAUUAUUGCGUGAGGCGUUGAGGCAUUGUAGGUUCUCCUAUGAGUUGCUGUUUGAGCCAUUGGUUCUCCUGGAGAAGCUCUGGUCGUCACAUCGAGCAUUGCUUCCUGGCUCUGCAGAGGAAGAUGUGUGCCACUUGGUCUCCAGGAUGAACUUGUCACACUGGCUUCCUGACAUGUACUCAACUGUGCUUAACGUUGGAGGAGCUCGGGGCCUCUGUGUCGCUGAGGAUGGCUGUGGUGCUUUCAGGACAGCCCUGGUCUUUGUGAGAGUGACUUCUCGACUCCAGCAUAGAACCCUUAUCCCACCAACACAGCUCCUUCACCCCAUAGCAUGGACUUUCUGGCUUCCACCGCUGAUCUUUGGGCCUUCCCAGCAUGGAUCCAUAAAAGAUACUGGUAACCUCCGUGUAAACCACAGUACCACUCUCGCCAAUGCCCACAGCGCCCUACAGAUUCGGCUAGCACCAGCACUGCAUUGUCUGAAGAAACGCUAAUCUCGGAUUCUUAGGUACUCAGUGCAUUCUUGGGAGCGCACUGAAAGAGACAUAACAAGGUUUCUACAUCCUCUGCCAUUGAAAUCAGCAGUGAGUUGGUAAAGGGAAAAUAGAAAGACAAUGGCGAGAAGAUAAACAGGAAAUAAAGAAGUGCAACACUGUCUUGCUGAAACAUCAAUUUCAAGUGGGAAGAACUCACAGUUGCCUGGGAUUAGCUUCAAACUGCUAACUGCUCAUUAAAACAAACAAAGAAAAAACUUAACCUACAAGUGUCUAGCACGUCACAAUUCAUUUGAUUUGUACUUUGAUCCCUACUGAAUAAAAAUGCUCUGAGGAUAGAUUCCAUCAGACCAUCUGUUACACUUUAAUGAGAGUGCGUUUAUCAGCAAGGUUUCUAAUUAAGGUUGAGGAAGGAAGAAAAAGCUUUGAGAAGGCAAGAAAAGACAAGAAAGUCUGGGAAUAGAGGCAGGAAAGGAACCAGAACUCAGAGAACAGAAGCAGACACAUUUCAUCUACCGCAAAGUUUUCCCAGAAACUGACUUAAGUCAUGUGAGUUCCUGCUCAGUUUCUGUUCAGAGGCUGAGAGCUCAGUGUACUUUCCAGCACCUACAAUUCUCUGAAGACAACAGUGACAGCAGAAUUCUCACAGAAAUAUGGCUGAUGGAAUUCAGCUGGAAAAAAGCCUCCCCAAAUGUAAGAAACCAUGAGGUGGGCAAGCUUUGCCUAUAUACAAAGCAGUAAGGUGCCCUUUGCCCAUGAUUGCACCCUCAUCCCCUGUAAAUCUAAUCAGUGAGUUAAAAUUUGAUGCUCACAGAAGACAGAGCUAAUGACUAGCACUGGUGCACCGCCUCUUUUAAUAUGACCUUGAAUUAAGUCCAGAUGGUCAACGAAACAACUGAAAUCUCUCAACCGAAAAUAUUGGGACAGAAAGUACUCCCUAGAGCUUGUGACUCAUGCCCUCUCUAGCUCACAGGAGGAAUCUCUGCUUCUCGUAGCUCAGAAUUAGUGAUCCUGUGAAGUGGCCUUACUUAGAAAUUACUCUUUAUUUCUGUUUCUCGAUAUUAAGCCUUCCUCCAGCAAAGAUAGUAUCUAUACUAGCAAAGAAAUGGUACUUUAGUAGAAAGUGGAAGGAACCUCAAAGAUUACCUCAAAGUGAAGCGCCUCACCUUAUAAAGGAGAAAACCAGUGAUCAAAGAACAGGUCUUGAUGAAAUUUUUAGGACUAGAAGGCUCUCCUUCCUCCCUUCUCUCUGGCUGGAAGAUUACCAGGCUCAUAGCUGAAUAUGGGAUAAAUAAAUAAUGAGCUCAGUUGCAGGAACUAAGAGGAGAAAGGAGUUCGUGGUCUAGCUCAUCUGUUCCCUCCAGAAGGAGAGACAGGAGAAGCACUAGAUACACUGAGCUCUGAGCCUCAGCCCCUCCCUGGGGCAUCUUUACUCAUUUCUUUCCACAGUCUUUAAAGAAAAUGAUUUCCCUCUAGUCAGGCUCAUUCUAAUCUCCUUCUCCCUUGCUUUUGAGGCAUAGAAGGAGCCACUAAACAAAAACAGAUGCAGUUUGGGUU